AAUAAGCGGAGGAAAAGAAACCAACAGGGAUUGCCUCAGUAACGGCGAGUGAAGCGGCAAAAGCUCAAAUUUGAAAUCCCCCCGGGGAGUUGUAAUUUGAAGAUUGCGUCUUGGAGGCGACCGUGUCUAUGUUCCUUGGAACAGGACGUCACAGAGGGUGAGAAUCCCGUGCGGCACGGCCCCCGGCUCCUUAUAAGGCGCUCUCGACGAGUCGAGUUGUUUGGGAAUGCAGCUCAAAGUGGGUGGUAAAUUCCAUCUAAAGCUAAAUACAGGCGAGAGACCGAUAGCGAACAAGUACAGUGAUGGAAAGAUGAAAAGCACUUUGAAAAGAGAGUGAAACAGCACGUGAAAUUGUUGAAAGGGAAGGGCAUGCCGUCAGAUUGUCAGUGUGGGUAAGAAGCGGGGUACAAAGACUGUGGAACGUGGCCCUCGGGUGUUAUAGCCGCAGUUCAUGCCCCGUCUCUUUCCGAGGC
rnacentral:rRNA from 1 species